UACGUAGGUGGCGAGCGUUGUCCGGAUUUACUGGGCGUAAAGGGCGUGCAGGCGGUUUGUUAAGUGCAGGGUGAAAGCUCCCGGCUCAACUGGGAGAGGUCCUUGCAUACUGGCGAACUCGAGGGAGGCAGAGGAAAGUGGAAUUCCCGGUGUAGUGGUGAUAUGCGUAGAUAUCGGGAGGAACACCUGUGGCGAAGGCGGCUUCCUGGGCCUUACCUGACGCUGAGACGCGAAAGCGUGGGGAGCGAACCGG
rnacentral:rRNA from 1 species